rnacentral:rRNA from 1 species
AAUUUGCCACAAUGGGGGCAACCCUGAUCCAGCCAUCCCGCGUCUUCUAUGAAGGCCUUCGUGUUGUCCUGCACUUUUGGCAGGGAAACAAAGGCUCUGGUUAAUACUGGGAGCCGCUGAGGGUACCUGCAGAAUAAGCACCGGCUAACUACUUGCUAGCAGCCGCGGUAAUACGUAGGGUGCAAGCCUUAAUCGGAAUUACUGGGCGUAAAGCGUGCGCAGGCGGUUCGGCAAGAAGGAUGUGAAAUCCCAGGGCUUAACCUUGGAACUGCAUUCUUAACUGCCGGGCUAGAGUAUGUCAGAGGGGGGUAGAAUUCCGCGUGUAGCAGUGAAAUGCGUAGAGAUGCGGAGGAAUACCGAUGGCGAAGGCAGCCCCCUGGGAUAAUACUUACGCUCAUGCACGAAAGCGUGGGGAGCAAAC